rnacentral:rRNA from 1 species
CCUACGGGAGGCAGCAGUGGGGAAUAUUGGGCAAUGGAGGCAACUCUGACCCAGCAACGCCGCGUGAAUGAUGAAGGUCUUCGGAUUGUAAAGUUCUGUGCUGGGGGAUGAACACAAUGACGGUACCCUAAUAGCAAGCCACGGCUAACUACGUGCCAGCAGCCGCGGUAAUACGUCGGUGGCAAGCGUUAUCCGGAAUGACUGGGCGUAAAGGGUGCGUAGGUGGUUUAGUAAGUUAGCGGUGUAAUUCCGGGGCUCAACCUCGGCGCUACCGCCAAAACUAUUAGACUAGAGUGCAGGAGGGGUAAGUGGAAUGCCUAGUGUAGCGGUGGAAUGCGUAGAUAUUAGGAGGAACACCAGGGGCGAAGGCGACUUACUAGACUGUAACUGACACUGAGGCACGAAAGCGUGGGGAGCAAACAGGAUUAGAUACCCGAGUAGUC